UCCUUAUCACAACCGACUCCACAGU
rnacentral:piRNA from 1 species